UUGUCCACUAUAUUAAACACUUUAAAAAAGAAGGAGAAAAAGAUCAGAGAAAGUGAUCUGAUCCUUUUGGACAUCUGUAACUGUUGGGAAUAGUUGAGUUUCAGAGUCCUGUCUAGUGAAUGCUUCAGAUAGCCUUGUGGUGAUGCAGCUGGUAGGAAGAAUUGGAGAGACACAGAAAGCAUUGUAUUAGAACUUGUACACUUGUGUUCCCAGACCAACAUCCCUCUUGCCCAAACUCUAUUAUAUUUAACAGGGUAAAAAAAGGUUAUUUUACUUCAUUUUGAAAAAUAAAGUAAGCAUCUUCCUCUGCCCUAGCAAGGACUAGUCAUCCAGAAUGAGAUCAUGCCAAAAAAACUUCAUUUUUUGCUAUACAUUCAGGCCUGUGUAUAACUAAAAACUAAGAGAACCUGUGCCCUUGCCAUGCAGUAAUGCUCUCUAAAGGAGUAUUCCCUUCCCCUACACUCCAAACAAAUACCAUUGGGCCAUAAAUACAUGCCUGUGCAAGCUGAGGGCUGUAACAUCACAUCUGCUUUAGAGAGCGAUGCUCCCAGGGCUUUCCAUACCCACAGGACCACUGCACGCUUUUUUGGGACUCUGGGCAAGUAACAGAUUUAAACUCUGACUGCCCAUUGCUGCAAAGGCCAUUGUACUGUUCUCCCCAUCCCUGACCACCCACUCUGUGCUUUGGGUUUUGUAGGGGAGACCUGCUCUCACGACCUCUGAGCACUCUCCCCAUCUCCAGCAGGGCUGGGGGUAGGCGCCCUUCACAGGGCAAUAACUGCUUUAAAAUUAACACGUCUCUUUGCACUUGCUGCAAUUAUUUAGAAACCCCCUUGUCUAAUGACCCACGUUAAGCCAAAGAACAUAUUACUAGGGGUGUGCUAACAGCACCAGUGCACUAAACCACAACUGACAGCCUGACCCAGUGCUGUGCUUUAAAAGGGCAGGGCCACAGCAUUCGAGUUGGAAUUCUGCUUUAAUUAGGCCAUUACCUGACCUUCAAAGCUGUAUUUUCUUCCUCCUCUGCAUGCUAUGCUGGAGGAAAGGCUGCUGGAGAAGACAGGAAGAGCCCUAUCUGAUCGUUAUCAGGAACGGAUGAAAGCCAUGCGUUGCCUUUUCCUUUUGACGUGUGCAAUUAGUUUGGCUUGUGUGGAAGAAGCAUGUCAAGGCAGGGAUCUGUGCUAAUGCACUUACCUUCGGGAAACCUGGGACUUCCUGCCUGGAACUGCUUCUGGCUACCACCAGCUCUCAGACCCUUUCAGACCCUCACACAGACCCUCUGUGGCUGCAUGUUGCAGAUGACUCUCAUGGAAGGCAAAAGACCCUCAAAAGGACAUCUUACUGCUGGUUUCCAAAAGAAGAGCACCUGCCAAUUCUUCAGGAAUCAGCUGAUCACUUCCAGUGAUGACAACACGCUCCCAGUGAUGUUCCUUUUCAAGCCUUUUUGUCUAAAUGAAUUACUUUGCAUACUUUUUAAUUUUAUUGAACAAAUUACAUUUGUCAAGGUCUAGCUUUGUAAAUAAAUAGCUAGAGACACAUGGAUGCACAUUGCUGCUGUUCAAGGUCUCCUGUUCUAUUUAUGGAAACCAGAUGAAUGUGAAACAAAAGAGGAACUUUUCUCUAAAAGCAAUUAUCUUUCUGCAUUCCCAUCAGUAUAAUUAUAUUGCAGGGAAUUUUAAGAAGUCAUACAAGUAGAAUUAAAUACUUAAAAUCAUGGGUAGAUAGUUAUGCAAAAGCUGAGUGGAGCAUCUUGCCUCAUGCCAACAAAACAUACCGUGGCUGGCUGUUCUCUUCAUGCCUUUACACCUGACAUAUAUGUGCAUAUUUGUCAUAAAAUAAGAUAAUAAAAUAAGCUGAUAUCCAUGGUAUACUUAUGAAAAGUAUUUCUGGCAAUAAGUACUGAAUUGCUUUCGAUUUUGAAGUGUUAAUAUUACUGGGUUGAAUUAUUUUGUCACUUAGGCAUUUAAAAUGUCAUGGCCCUGCUAUGUGAGCAUCUUUAAUCAUGAAUGUUUUCUUUGACUUUGGAGACACAUUGUGUUAUUAAAACAGGGCAUCUUCUUUGUUUGUGGAAAGGUCUUCCAGAGAGUAAAAGGAACAAUGCCCAUGAACACAUGGCAAGGUUCAGAUGUGUUGGUAGGAGUAUCUGGUAAAAAUCAUUAUGACCUUGCUUAGAGAGAAACUUUUUAGGAAGCUACAGUACUGGCACAUGGUUAGUAAAAGGUCACAUCAUUCUGAGUGGAGGAGUAGAGAAAGUUUGCCAGGAGAGUACUUUUUUUCUUUUUUUUCAUUAUCUCAUCAAAUUUUGAGAAAUUUUCUUGAAAAUGUAGUUGCCUUUUCCCCUUAAUUUAUUGGGAAAAUGUUGUCAGACCACCAAAAUAAAAAUUAAUGGGGAUGUUCCAUAGGUUCUUUUACACUCCUGUCAGAGCAGAAAGCUCAGCAAGAGCAGCAGCAGGGGUACUUCUUGAGGAGAAGCAAGACCAGGUCCAGCUGAAAGCCUUAUUCCAAAGCAAAGGAAAGGGGUCCUGCAGCAGGGAUCUGCUACACCACGGUUGAUCUGCCGCCUACUGCCUUCCUUUGCAGGGAGGUGCUGUGGAAAGAAGUCCUGCUGGCGCCAGAGUUUUCUUGUGUUCAGCCACGGGCAAGGUUACAGUAAAUGGUUUCCUCUCACUUCCUUCUGGGAUCGUGUGCCAGGGCAGAAGGGCCUUGUGGAAAACAAUAAAUUGCAUUCAUGUCAGCCGAGGCCCAUCCCUUUGCUAAUUACCGUUUGGUGCUGAAAUGACUUCUGUGAAAUUGGGAGCAUGAAGAAACACACAGCCGUACAAGGGAGGCUUUUCAGGCAGCGGCAGUAAAUGUGAGAUAGGCCUUAGGCGCACAGAUGUUAAACCAGCGAAUUCCCCUACAGAUUACACUAAUGGAAACCCUGUCAGGGGCCAUAACAGGAGCUUCCUGGGUUCUGAGUCUGCAUUUAGGGUAAGAACAGAAGAAGUGUAUUCAAGAUGACCCUGAUCUGCACAAGUGUUCAGCUUUCCAGUCAAAAUUUUUGGGGACAAAAAAGAGGCAAGUCCAGAGUUUCAGUCAAUCUCUCUUAACUGUUCAAUAGCUAUUCACAGGUCUGACGGUCAACACAGUCAUAUCAUCGUCUGAAUCCAACAGCACCUACCAACUCAAAAGCUGGUGCUUGGUUCAGCACUGUGUUCUCUAAAAAUAACAACAUAUAUAAGGAUGCUGUUCAACCAAAACCCAAAGGACUUGCCUGGUUAUCCUCAAUCAAGCAUGCUCACUGAUUUACCUAGUGAUUAUUAUCAGUAUUUUCUUUUAUAAAUAUUUUUUAUUUUCAAGAGAAGAUUCUACAAAUACUUUUUUCUUAAACAGUAAUGUCUAUGUUUAUGUGUUACAUGAGGCAGAUGUUGGUUUAAUGCUUAAUUCUCACUUAAGAUAUCUUUCAGUCCACUGAAAGGGGUUGAUUAGUGUCCCCUAGCUGAACUAUUUUUUCCCUCUGUUGCUUUGACCCAUUGAUUUAAUUAAGGUCUAAUAAAGAGAGGGCUGAAAGAUUGUUAAAAAUCCUUUUUUUUUCUUCCACAGAUCUGACCUAUGCUGGUCUGUCAGUGCAUUUUUGACUCACACAUGCCCUCUUUAAUAUGUAAGCACACUUAUACAGAGUUUGUCUUCCUUAGAGCCAGUUGUUUUUUUCCCUUAGUGAUAGGUCAGAUUUAAUUUUGGUUUUAACCAAAGCAAAUGCUUUCCUGGAGACCUUCUAUUUUAGUGAAAAUAAGUAAUGAAAAAAUAACCGAAACAAGUCACAGUAUCAAAAGGAAAGACCUUAGAAAGCUUAGCGGUGACCUUUUCUUUUUCUGUUUCCUUUCCCAUCCUCCUGUUGCCAGUGAAGAAAGAGAAAUGAAAAUUCUGGGUUUGCUUUUCAAUUAAGUAACAAGAACGACUGAAAGUUUAUGAAACAUGGAGGGUUUUCAUUGAAAAUGCUUGCUACUUUUCAACUUUGUGUCUUGCCUAGGUCAGUGUUAAUGCUCAAAAAAAUACUUCACCCUACUUGUCAUACUGCCAACCUGCUGUUUUCCUUUCCCUUCUCCUCCUACCAGCUCUGCAGUUUGCCACUCUAGGGUGAGAAGAGCUGUUCCCAGCAUGCUAAUUUUGCCACUGAGCAGGCUCAUCUGUAUCUUGUAAAAGGGAGGUUACCACAAAUGUGUACCCUUACCACACUCUGCUUCUGCAGUAGGAGAGGACUUCUGGCACUGAGGCUCCCAGUGCUAUCCCUGCUGUGCCAGGGCCGCAAUGACAGUCUUCAGAAGAAUAAAGAAGGGGAAAAAGCCCCAGCUGCAGCUUCAAGGAAUGGCUGAAUGUGCUGUUCACGUCUUGAAAGAACAGCAUUGCUAUCCACAGUGGCAGUUUGUAAGCAUGAACCUUCUUAGAUGGCUCUCUUGCUCAGAUUUCUGUGCUGCAGCUCGUUAGCAGGAGAGCUGCCUGUGGGGCUGCGACAGGUUUGCAGUACGACAGGAUAUGCACUAAAAUAAAAAUCUGGUUAGGGGUGGUGUGAUCCCAGUGCUGGCUGGGCACUGGCAAUUAAGCCUGGAUGAAAAUAAGACACCUGGACUUCGUAACUCCUGGGAUGUGACAUACCACUUGCUGAGGGCCAUCGCUGCCCAGGAAAGCAUUAAAACAGGUGUAUAAAUCCUACUGUGUUCAGUGGGAUUUAGGCACCUGCUUAAAUUUAAGUGCUUGUUUAGAGAGUUUCCUGAAUGAAAGCCUGACAAUUGUGCCCAAGAGUAACUUUUAAAUUAGUUUUAAUUUGCUCAUCAUAACCAGCUGUCAUGAGCCUAUGUAAAAAGGGUUUGAUUUUGGAAAGAUGAAAGACUUCCCAGGUCCUUGGCUUUCAUGUAAGCACCCUUCCCGGAUGGCCAGCACCCUGCUGAGCUGAAGCAGCCCUACUCAGCCCUGCUUUUAUUCCUCCUUGCUUCGUGGUCCCACAGGGGCUGCGGUGUUAGCCCAGCACUCUGCAAAGCAAACUGCCCUGCCAGCAACUGACAUCACCCGACUGCACCUCUCCAGCCGUGUCCCAUCUGAGGCAAUCUGCAGGCUGCAACAGAGGAAGAGAGAGUCCACUCUGUAUUUAGGAGGAGAACAGAGCCCUGGAGGCAACAGUUUUAUCAACUUUUCCUGUUGACCAGAUGAUGGUUCAGUGAUAAAUAAAUGGAGUGUGCUUGAGCUGGAGGCCUCCCACACACCGUCACUCCCUGUCCUUCUCUGGCUCCUGCUGCCUGCCUGGACACAGAGCUUUGCAUCAGAGGGGGACUGUCCUCAAAGGACACUGCAUGCUGCUCUGCUGCUGCCAGGCAAGACCUGCUUUUGCCUAUCCAGGUCUUCAAGGACCUAUGGGACAGCAUGAGAGGACAGGGCACUGCCAGCUGCUGUGUGAGAGCUGGAGCCUGCCACAGCAUGAGAGGGGCCAGCAGUGAGAAACGGGCUGCCUGCAACAGCAUGAAGGUUUAGCUCUGCCAGAGGUUAGAAAAGAGGUUGUUUGUCUGAAGAGACACGGGUGUGGCGAAAAUACUCUGUGCCAGCCAAGUGAACCAAAACACUAUCUGAAUUACAAAGCAGGCUGGAAAAUAAAAUGUUGCUGUCAGAAGAUCUGGACCCGACCUGUGCUGAGAGACUGAUAGAAAAGAAGUCGCAGGAGCUGGCCAUGUACAUCUGGAGGAAUAAGAGAGGAACAGAGGGGAGGAUAUUCUGGAGGAAGGAGGAGCCUGGAGUAUUCGGUGUCCUUCCACCUCUGCAGUUCUCUCUCUGCGACCCUUUGCGUGGGAGUGGCUGCGUAUUGCGGAGGUUGGAACCCAAUUUAUCCAGAAGCUGGGAAGGACCUGAACUGGCUCUAGCAAUUCCAAAAGAAAGAAGAAGCGACACAACUUUCCUCUAACAAAACUGGUACAUUCAGGGAGAAGAUGCAGGAAUCAGUCUAAGUUACCACUGAUGAUGAAAUGUCAACCCAUUCUGGCAGGCACUUGUUCAGUCUUAAGGAGCUUUAAAUUACUUCACAGCUUGAGAUUCCAGCAUAGGCAGCAUUAUCCCCAGAGGCUGACGAGGCGGUUGAACGCAUGCAGAUAAGCUGCUCUCCCCAAGCAAGCGGGCUCUGCCAGCACCUGAGAAGUUAAAACCUGUCUGCGCUACAGACAAUCAGGCUACCAGGACCCAUGAUGCUGAUAUGAAAGAGGACUGACUUCCAGGAUGUUGAGAAAGAAGACAGAAAUUUCCAUCUUCAUUGUUCAGGUUCUUCCUUUACAGGGGUUCCUUCAGCUACACAACUAGGAGUGCUAUUUAUUUUUUUUGGAACAUUGCAAACAAAACAAGCAAAAGGAGGGGAGGGGAAAAAAAAAGGAAAAAGAAAACUCCCUUCAGACAACAAUCACCUUUUGAGUUAAAUUCUCAUGCUUGGUCUUAGCCCAGAGGGAUUUGUCUUGAGUGAAGUUCGAAGAAAAUCCUUUCAGCAGUUUCUGAGUUACUUAAAUGUAACCAUGGAGGUUUGGAUUCAGAUGCUUUUUUUUACUUGUAUAACUCAAAAAUAGCUUUGCUUUAAAACUUCUAAAUUAACCCUCCUUAACUUUUCAACUUGUCACCUAUCCUACUGUAUGGCUUAUAAAAUUUUAAAGCUAAUAGUAUAACAAACUCAAAUAAUGAUACUGCAGAUGUUCAAAUGAAUCUUGGGAGGAAUAAAUUAUAGGAGUCACAGUGGGUUGUUAGUGAAGAAAGAGCGGCUGCAUGCCUUAAACCAUGUGUUCUUACUGGUUUGAAACAGGCCCAAUUUUUUCUACUAUUAAGAAGCACCAGUGUGCUUGGGUGUGGAUUUUAAUACUCAGUUACACAUACAAAAUGAAGCCCAUAAGUCCUGUUCCUUUUCUUCCUUCUGAUAGCAGUGCUUUAGACAUGUUAGAACAUUCUCUUAAAUUUUCCUGCUUUCUUUUUAACACAAUCCUGAUCACCAGGACACUUAACUGUCUCCUAAAUAUUUAUGGGCUUCAAAGUCACUGAAAUGCUCUGUGAUUCUCUUACUGUUAUUAUUUUAUUGCCAGAAGAUUGAGGCAAUGAGAGGUGAAGUGUCUUGGUAAGUUAUGGUUUUUCCUUUUUCUUUGUCCAAUCUUCCUGUUGCUUUCUGAUGUUUCUUCCUCUUUGUCUUCUUUCCAACAUUUCUGCCUCACUUACUAGUCCUGUCCUCACUGUCUCCUAUCUAUCUUUCAAACAUCUUUCUCCAUUUAUUCGUCUCUUACAAUUGCACUGAAGAGAGCCUGUGAUAGAGAGAAAUUAUUUUUACUUUGGCAGCAGCUUUUUACUUUUAUCUUUCCCCUAAAUGUCUGGGAUGGGUCCAGGCAGCUCUCCCCACUUUCAUCAUCUCCCUUCACAUCCCUCGUGACCCUGAACUCUAGUCAGCAAUCUGAUGUCUGCCAUGAGAGCACCUCCCAUGAUCCAAAGCCACAAUCAGACUAAGGUGUUGUAACACCGAGUGUUGCUUUACCUACUUACCACGCUUGCUCUGCUGCUUUCUAGGAACUGGACGCCUGUGCCAGGUUUUUCUCACAGAAUAAUGACAGUACUGUCACCUUCUGCACGUCUCUCCUCCUUGCUCCUGUGCCUCUCUUCCUCUCCCAAGCUUUUGCGGUUCAAUCUCCUGGCUGAUGCAAUUUAGCCAAGAUACAGGAGACUUGUAUUCAGCCUGUGCCUGAGGCAAUUUGAACUUGAAUCUCUUGCCCCCUGAAUUAGCACCUUACCCAAGACAUUAUCAACUCUUCUGUAAGGAGGGUGACCUGAGUCCUUUCUUCGAGUGGGAAAGCUUGAGCUUGACUUGUCAGCCUUGUAGUGGAGGCACUCACCUGGAGCAGGGAAACCAGGUCUGCCAGGGCCUGCCCCAGUCAAUACUUAAUACAAAGUAUGGAAGUGUUCCCUGAAAGAGGGUAACAAACCCCAGGCUUCUUGCUUUCAGCAAUGCUUUGAGAGCAAGCAGACAGGGCAAUCCAGUUAAUAUUUAAUUAUUCAAACGGGAUAUAACUUCAACAGGAUGGACUGGAGAGAGACCCUGCUUGACAAGAUCCUUUUAGAACUGUGCUGGUCUCUCUUGACUGCUGUGGGUCAGCUCGCUCAAUACCCCAGAGCAGCAAUGGCAGCUGCCUCAGCACCACUGACUUGAUAUGGGACUAUGAAGUGAGGACAUGUGUGGAGGCUGGGUGGGGGGAAAGGGAUGGAAAAGGUGUUCCUGAAGUGUAUUCUGUUAUCCAUGGUGACGGGUUUGUAGUUGUAGCUGAAGCAAGCACUUGCCACUGCUGCCUCAGUUAUCAUUUUGGAAAGCAGUGGCAGCAAAUAUGUGGUGGAGGGAAAAGAAGUCUGUUAAAAGACAAGGCAGCAGGCUGGGGCACUAUAAGGGAAAUUGCUUUUAAAGGUGGAAAUGCAACAAAAAUAGACUAAGAAAUCUUAAAAGACAAAGUCAAUGCCAAAGCAGAGGAAGCCAGAAUGACUUCCAGAGCUCAGCUAUAGGCAGUUGUCCCCCAAUAUAAGCCAGACACUGUCAGUGUGUGGGAGACAUCCAGGAAUUUUUUCUCCUACAAAAAUGUUAGGGACAUUAUAUGUUUUAACUGUAAUGGAAAACUCGAGCUCUAGUGCUCAGUUCCAAAGGAGAACUAACCAUUGGAAGCAAUGUGGUACAGGGGGCUCUGUGUGUGUGUGUGUCUGCUCGUCUUUCUCCCAGGGAUUCUAUAGCUUCCUUCAUUCUUCCCUUCUCUCAUAUUACAGAAAGAAGGUAAUUUUUCCUGGCCAUUUACUAAAGCUCAUUAAAGACCGAAGAGAACAAACAAUGCUAUUCCUUAGAGACUACCAUUCAAAGUCAUUCUAUAAUUCUCUGUUCUAAUACUUGAGACAAAUUAAUUAUUCCUUAGUGAAAACUGUAUAAUUCCUAUUCUUCAUUUUUGGGGUGGGGAGUGGGGAAUAAUAAUAGGAAGUUUAUAUCUGAGUCAAAAGCUGUCUGUGCUGAAGGGAAAUGAGAAAAAAUGUGUGUUCCAAGAAGAGUAAAAGCAAUUAUUCUAAUAAUAAUUCUAGGGAUAUUAAUGUCUUUUUAAAGUAGAUUGCUUUCAAAUAAACACCAAAGUUGAAGGCAUAGGAAAGGCUGGUUUAUUUAUUAAUCAUUCCAAAAGUGCAUUUUUCUAAAUGAACAAGUGUAUGAGCAACUUCGCUGGCACAUAUUAAAUUUAGUUAAACGGCAACUUGUAAAUGUCUAAAAACUUCUGUAACCAGAGACUAAUUUGUUUAAUGUGUUGAAAAUGUUAUGUGGAUGUGAAGAGCUACAUAUUAAACUUCAAAGCAAAAGACUCCAGAGAUUACACCAUCUUAAAGACUGCAUAUUGGAAAGGCCUUUAUACAUUAAACAGAAAGGAUUUUCAAUUCUCUCCUAUUUUGAAUACUUGUCAAUCUGUGUGACUCACGCUUAAGAUUGUAAACUGUCAUUUAAGGUGUGAUGUCCAAGUUGAGGCCUGGACUAUGAUUUGCAAGGGGCUGGCUUUUCUCUUUCAUCUCUAUUAAUUAAUCCUGUCUCAGUUUGCCCAGCGUACACUUCUGUUGACAUCACCUUUUCCAUAUACGUUAAAGAGUCCCCAGAGAGAUCUACUGCAGAACAAAAACUGGACAGAGAAUACAUUUGGAAACCAUUUUAUUUCUCAAUUACCAACCAAAACGUAUGGAAAAGAUUUACACUCUAUCUGAUUUACACAAUAAUUAUACUUUGAAAGCUUAGAAAUAAAUGGCUUGAUCCCUGAAAUCAUUAGUUACUAUACCAAAUGUAAUUGGUGUAAACUAAUGAGUUUACUGGAUGGCUGACCCUUAAUUACUGAUUAUAGUUAAACUCUAGCCAAUCAAAAAUUCGUUUACUUAUAAAAGUACAGUAUAGUAUUAACAAGCAUUACAUUUCCAAGCAAGCAGCUUUAUGAUUAGCUGUAGCACACAACUCAAGCCUGUUCAGGGCUAUCAAAAGCAGCUUUUUAAUAAUAGUGCACUAAGCAACCAUCACUCUCUUACCUCAGCUUCUAUCAGACAAACAGAAGAAAAACCACAUAAUUAAUCAUCUCAUGCAAUAGAAAUAAAGCAUCUGGGCCAGAUCCAGGCAGGGUAUACACAGCCGCCUUAGUCAAGAGAGCUGCAAGAGGCUGGGGAUUUGCUUUAAGAUAGGAUAACUGCCAUGGGGAAUUCUGGCCCUCUGGAGGGGGCAGUCCGUGGUAUGGAAGUGAAAUAUUGAUUAUGUGCAGUCCUGUGCGAUGUGGAGAAACCUAUUGAAAAAACAGGUUUAAUAAUUCCUUGAAGUGAGGAGGAUUCAGUAUGUGGUGAUAGGACAUUUGGUUACUGUACUGGCAAUCCUAAAAAUUCGAAAGUCAUGACUCCUCACUAUUUAUUAGAUCAAAUGAGGAAUCAUUUUUUAAAUAAAAUACUAAAUGGGAACAAAUUAUCUUUAUUUGUCUCUGGUUGAUCUUUAAGAAUUAAUGUUUUUACCUAACCAGGAAAAUUCAACAUUUCUAUUAAAAAGGUUUAAAGCAGGUUUGUAUUUAGACCAUUUCCAGAACUGGGACUUUAGUACACCAAAUAUUUUGAUAAAAUCACAGGACUUUACAGUAUUUACAGUCACAUCCUUAAAGAUACUUGGGUAAGUGACUCCAGUGUUUUAAAGAUGCAGAAAUUCUCCAUCUCCUAGAUUGUUCCUGUGAAUCCUAAACUUCAGAUAGGAGAUUGAUACCAGAAGGCACAAGCAUUAGAAGAUGAGGUCUGAGGUCUGAUACACAGCUGCUGCUGCGGAGAUUUAGUUGGAAGAAUAUGUAUUUGCUGGAGUGUGCUCUUCAGAUGACCCAACAGACCUCACGGCUGCCAGGAUUCAUUCUGUCGGGAUUACAGGUCUCUCCCAUUUCUGCUUUUCUCCACGAUGUUCUCUCUGGGGCUCGCCUUUCAUAAGGAGCUACACUCAGCAGAGGACUAACCUUAUCUGAUAGCUCUUUGGAACAAGUGCUGUAACACUUGCCCAUUUAUUAGUAUAAAAAUUUUCUUAAAACUCAGAAAAUGAAGAAUGAAUUAGUUCUCAGAAUGUCUGCACAGGGGUUAAAGUGAAAUUUAUGCAUUUACUGAACUCCUGUUUGAGAGAUGUGUCUGGGGUCAAGAAAAGGUUAAAGUUGUUUACUGCCUUCAAGCUCUGGUCUUAGAAGUUAUUUCAGAGCUGUGGUGUGAGCAGCUACAGAGAGUAAGUCCUUGGAGCAGUGAAUUGCUGGUUUGAUGUCAAGGUCCAUGGGCCUUAAUAAUAAAAUUAGUUUGUUUCUUAAGGAAAUCCUAGCAGAGACUUAUAUAAAGUCAUUACACUGUUUUACAACAUAACUUUAAAGAUGCUUUGGAAUGAUCAGAGUUUGUGGGAAGGGAUCAAGUUCUUUAUUACUUGUGGAAUAUCCUCAAGCUGUCAUAGUUACAGCACUGCCACUUGGAAUAGCUGCUCCACAGUUCAAAAGAGAAGACAAAGGAUCUAUUGAAGCCUAAGUCAGGAAAAGAGGGCAUAUCUGUCCAGAGAAAGCUUGUUGACCAGAAUGGAUCCCAUGUACUUCCUGACAAUUGACUCCAAUUUUGUAGGAGUUGUACAUUUGGGGUAAUCAAGGUGUUUUUCUGCAAUUCUACAAGAGUAGAUAGAGAGCCUGUGAAGUUCUACAGGCUCUGCUUUUCACAGUUCUUCAUUGGAGGAUUUAGGGGUGAGCAAUUUUAAAAGUCAUGGAAAAGGAAGGCACACUUUCCAAAACAUCAAGAUUCUAGACAAACUGCUGGUAAGAAUAACGCUGCCAUUUCUGCUCUGCUAACGCUGAGGCAACACCCUCCUCCAAUGCAGAAGGAACCAUUGAUUCAGGAGGAGGAGAACAUGCACGUUCACUCUCCCCAGCCUACUGUCUCUGUGGCACAGAGGGAAAGUGGGGCUUCUGGAACAGACUGGUGGAGCAAGCACCGUAGGACCCCACUUUCCUCCUUUUCUGUGAACUCUGCCUAACUGUUUCUGUGAAAGAAAGCAUCAAGCCCCAUCUUGUUGAUGGAAAUGCAAUGUAUUUUAAAGCCAUAGUUAAUGGAUAAACUGUUUUCUGAUUGGAUGAGCCACACGAUAAAUCUCUUCCCGAGCCAAGUGCAAUGCAGCUUAUUCAGUUACAGUGAAAUAAGCCACUGUCACUUUGCUGCACUUGCAUACAUCAGGCAAAAUGCUUCCAUCUUCAUCAGCCUUGUAGUGAAACAGAAAUAAAACAAUUGUAACAGAAUGGUGUCACUGGAUCUGUGGCACCUGCUUUAAAAAUAAAUCUCUUAGCUUUGUCUUCACUAUUACUUUCAAUAAAUGUCCUAGCAUUGCCACAGCAUUUAUCUAGCAGCAGGAAACCAUUAUCCUAUGACAACAAUCUAUUCCAUUAACAUUAGCUCUUAAUUGUAAGACUGUUUAUAAGACAGCGAAAGCUACUGAAUCAUAGUAGAAUGAUAAAAAGAGUUAUGGUCAUGGAGUACAGGAGUCGCUCCAGUUUUGAAAAACAACUUAGGAAGAGAAGAGAGCUAUAUUUUUGUAUGAAAAAUAAUGUAAUAUUCUUAUGCAAUACAAUGUUUUCAAAUAAUGAAUUACAUCCUCAAGUAACUAUUAAAGAGUUAAUGUUAAAAACUGUUAUGAAAAACCGCUCUCUUUGAUAAAUGGUAGAGCUAAAAAAAUUAAUAGAAAGCUUAGAAACUCUCCUUCUUACAUUCAGCAAAGCUGCAUCGAGUCAAACAGGGAAAUCAUAAUAACAGAAGCACAUUUGUCUGGUGGAGUGAACAGAACGAUUGUUGCAGAAUUGAGAUAUGAAGAACCUCACUGCAGAAUAGAAGGAGAACUGUCAUUCUGAUUGUUUGUCAUUAUUGUUUCAUGUCCAGUUAAGUGAACUUAAAGUGACAGUUGUGUCAUAACUACUGGCAUCUAUGUAAAUUUCAAAUGAAAUACGACAGAGGCAUUUCUGCCAGAUGCAAGUCACCAGGCUGCUCUUCCUCUUUAUUUUUGUAAUCCUCCAUUUUCUUAUACUGUGCUCAUAGCCCUUAAAUUGAAAAGACAACUUAACAAGGGGAUCUCUGUUAUGUGUGUGUUUCAGUUCUCAGUCCGUACCUUGCUUUCCCUCAGCCUUUUGAAACAAAGGCCAAUGUCAAAUUUCCAUCAGAAAGAGUCACUCCAGACAUUUAGACGUAUUAGCUAAAACUGUGCCUUCCCAUCAAUGAGGUAUCAUAGAGCAAAACCCCACGAAAUUCUAGGUUGUGAACAUCCCCUCAAGGCCUACAGAGAAAACAGCUCGAGCAAAUGUUCCUCCACUGGUUUACUACAGCCCAAGCCAGUAUCACAAGGGUCUUCUCUGUGGAUAGGUGGAAAAUAGGUGGAAAACAUUGGUCGUGGACCUUUCUGUAAAUUACACCAUUUAGAGGUUAUGGGAACUUCACAAGGAUAUCAGAUGUACUCCUCCAUGGCGAGGAGUUACAUGUAAAUAACUCAUUUCCUGGAUACACUCAUACAGAUAGUCUAAUGACACAGGAUUUGCUAUUGGACACACACCUUUGAAAAUAACUUCAGUGCAAUUAUAAAUGUAUUUUGUGUGGACAACAUCAUCAAAAAAUAUUAAACAUGCUGUUUAUUCACUCAUGCAUACUAAUUUCCUCUGCAUAUUUAAGGUUACUUGGCUAAUUAAUUAAAUAGUAUAGGCUUGAACUAAGUUUUCAUUUUUCAUUGUAACAGAUUGCAUAAAUGCUAGUGAUAUAAGUAUGUACCUCUGCAUUAGGUAAGCACAUUUUUGUCAGUUGAUUGAGGCAGAUUUUUAUGGUUUUUAAUUCUCUUGCAGUUGUUCUUUUUUGUAUGGUAAAUUUAAAGUAGCUCCAUAGCUACUUUUAUCUACAAUUUGGGCCUUCAAACAAUCAAAUUGUGCUGUCCCAUCCUCUAACCUGGCCAUUUGUUAAAGUGACUAGUGAAUAGAGGCAACAUAUUAAUGCCAGUUCUAUAAAAGUAUCUGUGAAUAAACAUUUUUUACCUUAAAGGGUAAGUUCUAUAUGAGUUUAUAUUUGUAAGUCAAAGGGGUUUUUUUCCUUGUUAAAGAUGGAGACAUAUGAAUCAUAAAAAUAUUUGUAUUUGUGACAAAAUAUCACUCUACAGAUAUGUCAUCACAAAAAUCAAUUGUCAGUACAUG